GUUUGCUUCAGCAGAACAUAUACUAAAAUUGGAAUGAUACAGAGAAGACUAGCAUGGCACCUGCAAAAGUAGAUUUAUAUGUUAAUUAAAUUGAU
rnacentral:snRNA from 1 species